GUAGCCCAUUCAAUAAAGUUCCUAACAAUAUAUUUAGACUUUUUUUUCAAAAACCCACAACUUACUCACUUUAUAAAUCUUUCAAGAAGCCAGUUUGAAAUGACUUUUCCGUGAUCGGUUUAGAGCUUUUUUUUGCUCAAAAAUGCUCAAAUUGAAAAACAAACACGUAAAAACCGGUAAAUGUGCAAACACGCCGACGAGAUUUCACAGAAGAUGCAUACGAGUUGGCGACAAUUUAACCAAUAAGCGAGUUCGAUUCUUUGGUUCCGCGUCCAAUUCUUAGAAUUGGAUCCGUCCGAGUUCUCGGAAGUUUUCACUCGGAGUAACUCCGCGAGCACUUUCACGAAUCGACGCCACAUCGACUCCAUCUCUAGACGUCCCUCAAAAGGCCACAAAUCGUCGAUUCUCGUUAGCCGCGACCUUCUUUGACGCCGCCAAAGCAGAUAGAAAAACUUCACUUUGUGUUGAAAAAGAUUAUCUGAAUCAUCAAGGCCGUUACCGUACAGUCGCUGAUCCUGACUUGGAGCGUCCAUUAUUUGUGGAACGAUCGGAAGAAAAAGGUGUUCGAACCUUCCGAAGCGAUUCAAUCAAACCGGCUAGAAGCCGGCGAAUGGGGAGAGCAAUGCGGGUGGUUGUAGUUGGAGGAAAAAAAGUCGGAAAGACAGCUAUUCUGCGGCAAGUCGCAUGUGUUGAGGAUGUUACGAAUAAGCCAUAUGAACCAACGAUCGAAGACACAUAUCAAGUUCUUUUGGAAGAACCGGACAAAGCUCGAGAGAUUCUUAUAUUGCACGAUACGGCAGGAGUUUCAAAUUACGGACCGAUUGAACUGAAGAAGGCAUAUGUACAAGCUGCAGACGCAUUUGUUCUUGUGUAUUCAUCUGCUGAUUACGAAUCGUUUAACAGAGUUGAUUUGCUGAAAAAAUGGAUAGACAGACAAUUUGGAAAAGAUAAGAAAGAAGUUCCAAUCGUAGUCCUUGCCAAUAUGCGAGAUCGACCGGCGACAGUUGACAGUGCUUUUGCACAUAGUUGGGCUGCACGAGAAAAAGUUAAACUAUUCGAGGUUACUGCAAAGGACCGGCAGAGCCUAGUCGAUUUCAUUCAUUAUGUAGGACAUCGACAUUUCCAUCCAACCAAAGAAUCGAAAUUCUCGCUCUCAAAGAAGCUGAAAUCAGAAAAAUCUUCAAAUCCAGCAAUCUUGAUGGACUUUUGACCCCAAACUUCUUAUUCUUCUAAUAUUCUUUGUGAUAACCAAAAACUGUGAUUUCACUUUUCUCUGGCCAUAAUUAUCAAGCUCCUUCUCUGUGCCUUCAUCCUCCCAUUUCUUAUUUGGUUUUCUUUGCAUAAUUUUUCAUCACAUUAUAGGCACCCAAAAUAUAAUUUAAUCAGUAUUCUCGGUCAGCAAACUUUUUCUUAUGUACGUCUAAUUAUGCUUCUUUUUGUGCAUUAUUCACCAAAACAGAAAAACUUUUCAAAAUCAGGUUGCAGGUUCAUUUUUUGUAUAUGAUAAUAAUAAAAUGAAUGAAUAAAACAGUUAUAAUAAUAAC